rnacentral:rRNA from 1 species
AUUGAACGCUGGCUGCAUGCUUAACACAUGCAAGUCGAACGGCAGCGCGGAGAGCUUGCUCUCUGGCGGCGAGUGGCGGACGGGUGAGUAACGCGUAGAAAUCUACCCUAAAGUGGGGGACAACCUGGGGAAACUCAGGCUAAUACCGCAUAAUACCUACGGGUCAAAGCAGGGGCUCUUCGGAACCUUGUGCUUUAGGAUGAGUCUGCGUCAGAUUAGCUUGUUGGUGGGGUAAUGGCCUACCAAGGCGACGAUCUGUAGCUGGUCUGAGAGGAUGAUCAGCCACACUGGGACUGAGACACGGCCCAG